GUCGUGGCCGAGUGGUUAAGGCGAUGGACUUGAAAUCCAUUGGGGUUUCCCCGCGCAGGUUCGAAUCCUGUCGGCUACGGUUUGGUUUUAGCCUGACUUCUCCCAAAUAGUUUCCUUCUAAUUGCACCCCAAAGGCAACUGAGUCUCCUGGAUUACAAUUGUGUCAUCUCCUUUGGUAACACUGCGUUGAACUCUGCAUUCUAGCUGUCAUCAUCAUUAUUAACCCUGCGUUGUAGUUUACCUCUUUCUCUGAGUCCAUUACUUUCCUCCUCCUCCAACAUCCGAGACAACCGUGUCUCGAGUAAGAGAGAAUCUAUUGCUGUGGUGUAAACAC
rnacentral:tRNA from 1 species